rnacentral:rRNA from 1 species
UACGUAGGGGGCAAGCGUUGUUCGGAAUUACUGGGCGUAAAGGGCGCGUAGGCGGCCAUCUAAGUCAGACGUGAAAUCCCCCGGCUUAACCUGGGAACUGCGUCUGAUACUGGACGGCUGGAGUUUGGGAGAGGGAUGUAGAAUUCCAGGUGUAGCGGUGAAAUGCGUAGAUAUCUGGAGGAAUACCGGUGGCGAAGGCGGCAUCCUGGACCAAUACUGACGCUGAGGCGCGAAAGCUAGGGGAGCAAACGGG